GGUACUUUAAGCUGAGGUAUAGCAGCAACAACUUGGGUGUCUGGCAAAUUGGUAAGCUUUUAAACAGAGAGACUGAGCCUUAUUGUUUUCUUUUUCUUUUUUAAUUUUUAAAAUGACGGCAGAUUCAGCAAUGCUGUGCUAAAAGGAUUUAAAGACAAGCUAAUGUUUAAAACUUGAAUAACAUUCAAUAUAAUAUAUACACAGCCACACACUGGUACAAAAGCAGCAGUCUUACAGUGUAGCAGGGGUGACACUUGAUGGAGACAGGAGGCAAAGGGGGUUGCGUAGAAAAAGAGAUUUGUGAGAUCAAAUUGAGAGUAGAAAGUAAAGUUUAAGAAAUGUAUUGCAAUUUCAGAGUCUGUCUGGGUUAUUCACUAAAGUGAGAAUUGUCGGGACUCGGGAAUACUAAGUGGACUUCACAUUUAAGGCCAAAGUAGAUGAACUGGAAGCAUAACUGAAUUUUCCGAGGUUAGCUAAUUCGGCCUUAAAUUGUAAAUUCACUUUGAACUUCUGACAAAUUUGCUCUUUAGUAAAUAACCUUUUAGAUAUCAAAGUAUAAUAUGUAGUUUGCCUCUGUGCUAGGAUUUGCACUAGAGCAAUUGUUUUGAGUGGGGGUGUUGUGAGUUACAGUAUAAGAACAGCUUAAUUUCUAAACGUAUCUUGCUCCUUUGUCAGGAAAUUGGAAUUUUAAAGUGGAGAAUAUGUUAGCUGGGGAGGUUGGAAGCUGCUGUUCAACAAUAACAACAAAAGUGUCAAAUUUGGCCUACCCCGUUAGGAAUUCUAGUGUGGAGACGCGAUGGCUGCACCCAUGCUGUUUGGACCAUCUUUGCUGUUCUUCACAUCUAAAAAAUGUUCAUUUGAUCCGAGAAUUUCUAGUGCCUUAGGCAUGCAGCCUAGCUCCACUGGAAUCCAGACUUUCAUACUGCAAUAUUCAUCGCCAAAUGUUUGUAAGCGAUAAAGCCAAAGGACUUGUUAUAACUUUCUUUACUUUGUUUUUUAAUACGAUGAAAGUAUGGCAGCAGAUUUCUGUACAUACAAUAUAUCUUCUCCUCUGUAAAAUCUGUCACUUCAAUCUGACAUCUGCAAUGGGUAUAACGCAUCAUGAAACAAUCAUGUUGCAUAUGGUAUUCGUUCUUUACAAACAACUUUGUCUAUUCCAACUCAUUCCUAUUUCGAUUGUAAGCUUCUUGUCAAGACUAUCAAAACCUACUGUAUCAGUUUGUUGGUGUCUUUUCAAAAAUACUCUUUACUUGUGUACCUAGCAAUUUGUGUUUUAUGACUCUAUACAAAUAAAUAACAGUAGUAAUAAUUCUUGUCAUUGAUUUCUGAAGGGUUAACAAUAUCAUGUUAUGUAUGAGAUCAUGUACAAUAAAUCCAAUGUUAAAUUGUCAGUUCUGUGAUCAGUAG